rnacentral:rRNA from 1 species
CAAACCAAAGCUGGCGACCGGCGCACGGGUGAGUAACACGUAUCCAACCUGCCUCAUACUCGGGGAUAGCCUUUCGAAAGAAAGAUUAAUAUCCGAUAGCAUAUAUUUCCCGCAUGGGUUUUAUAUUAAAGAAAUUCGGUAUGAGAUGGGGAUGCGUUCCAUUAGUUUGUUGGGGGGUAACGGCCCACCAAGACUACGAUGGAUAGGGGUUCUGGGAGGAAGGUCCCCCACAUUGGAACUGAGACACGGUCCAA